rnacentral:rRNA from 1 species
GUGAAAAGUACCCCGGGAGGGGAGUGAAAUAGAUCCUGAAACCGCGUGCCUACAUGCAGUCGGAGGUCGCAAGACUGACGGCGUGCCUAUUGAAGAAUGAGCCGGUGAGUUACCCUACGUGGCAAGGUUAAGCAAGGAGACUUGUGGAGCCGUAGCGAAAGCGAGUCUGAACAGGGCGUUCAGUCGCGUGGGGUAGACGCGAAACCGGGUGAUCUACCCAUGGGCAGGGUGAAGUCCAGGUAAAACUGGAUGGAGGCCCGAACCUUCUAGCGUUGCAAAGCUAUUGGGUGACCUGUGGGUAGCGGUGAAAUGCCAAGCGAACCCGGAGAUAGCUCGUUCUCCCCGAAAUGCAUUUAGGUGCAGCCUCGCGUGAUCUCCGUCGGAGGUAGAGCUCUGAAUGGGCUAGGGGGCUUACCGCUUACCAAACCCAAUCAAACUGCGAAUGCCGUCGGACAAAGCGCGGGAGUGAGACAGUGGGGGCUAAGCUUCAUUGUCGAGAGGGAAACAGCCCAGACCACCAGCUAAGGUCCCGAAGUCCAUGCUCAGUGUGAAAGGAUGUUGGAUCGCAAAAACAGCCAGGAGGUUGGCUUAGAAGCAGCCACCCUUUAAAGAGUGCGUAAUAGCUCACUGGUCGAGUGGUCCUGCGCCGACAAUAUAACGGGGCUAAGCAUGGCACCGAAGCUGUGGGCCUGCGUAAGCAGGCGGUAGGGGAGCGUUUGCUCCAGCUGCGAAGCGGAAGCCGUGAGGCGCCGUGGAGCGGAGCGAAGUGAGAAUGCCGGCAUGAGUAGCGUAAGGCGCGUGAGAACCGCGCCCGCCGUAAACCUAAGGUUUCCUACGGAAGGUCAAUCCGCGUAGGGUUAGUCGGGCCUAAGCCGAGGCCGAGAGGCGUAGGCGAUGGACAGCUGGUUAGUAUUCCAGCACCGCAGCAGUCGCGUUCGAUGCAGAGGGGGGACCCAGGAGGGUAGAUUUCGCGGGCCUAUUGGACAUGGUCCGUUCCUUACUCUUAGGCGUCGGUCCGGAGGCAAAUCCCCGGACCGGUUAAGCGGAGGAGUCGGGAAAAGCGGAGACUUCGGUCAAAGCGAUGAGGUCGAGCCCACGCUGGCUAGAAAAGCCUCGCUGCUAGUUACUGUUGUGCCCGUACCGCAAACCGACACUGGUAGGUGGUGGUAAGUACCACGAGGCGAACGGGAGAACCUUCGUUAAGGAAUUCGGCAAAAUCGAUCCGUAACUUCGGGAGAAGGAUCGCCCCUGGAGGCCGCAAGGUUUCUGGGGGCCGCAGUGAGCAGGCCCAGGCGACUGUUUAUCAAAAUCACAGGUCUCUGCAAACGAGAAAGCGGACGUAUAGGGGCUGACGCCUGCCCAGUGCCGGAAGGUUAAGGGGAGAGGUGCAAGCUUUGAACCGAAGCCCCGGUGAACGGCGGCCGUAACUAUAACGGUCCUAAGGUAGCGAAAUUCCUUGUCGGGUAAGUUCCGACCCGCACGAAAGGCGUAACGAUCUGGGCACUGUCUCAACGGAGGACCCGGCGAAAUUGAAUUGACCGUGAAGAUGCGGUUGUCCCGCGGCAGGACAAAAAGACCCCGUGGAGCUUUACUGCAAUUUGGCGCG